CCUUUACACCCAUUCAUGUUGAACCCUUUCAACAUUAAAUUCUAUGUACCUAAACUGGGACAAACUCUAUAUCCAUUAACAUCUAUCCCUAUAGAUACCAAGUAUAUUGGAUGCUUAACCCAAGUCUAUUCCAUGAAAACUUCUGUGAUACGCAAGCAAUUGAUCGAGUACAAUAUCGGGCUCAUCAUCCCAAUAUACUGUAUGUCCCCC
rnacentral:lncRNA from 1 species